ensembl:lncRNA
AUGGCAUCUUCAGCUUCUCCCCCGGCAUUAUUAAGGUGCAAGUGUGUGGACACCCAUCUCAACCCCCGCGUACUGAUCUACUGUACGAAAGUGAAAAAAAGAGAGGAAGCGAAAGUGAAAACAGAAAUGAUUAGUGCACUUACCGAUGGUACAACAGUGUACCUAAAUAAAAAAGAAGGGCUCACCCCAGAAUUUGAGGACGGGGACAUCAGCGGAGAGGCACAGAAUGCUGCAGAAGAGGCCCUGUGUCCUCCUUCAGCCAGCUUGACCAGUGAAGAGGGCCACAUAUCUUCAAGAGAGGCUACCUCAGCCUCCAAGGACAGAUCACAGAAGUGAGGGAAUCUGCUGUCUAUUUUCUUUUGAUCUAGUCAAUUUUGCAGUGUUUAAUUCAUUCUUUUGAGAGUUUAACCUCAAGUAACUUAACAGUUUAACAGUGUUACCUCUCUAUCAUCCUGCUCCAGCUCCAGGUUACCUAGAGUAGAGAGUGAACUGACUGUAAGAAAUCAAACAUAAAAAACAAACAAAAAAACUAACAAAGGAAUCAAACAUAAAAACAAAAAUAUCAUAAUAUAUCAUAUUAUUAUUAUUAUUAUUAGUAGUAGUAGUAUUAUUAGUACUAGUAGUAUUUAUUAUCAUUAUUCAUUUGCAUCUACUCCUAUGUAAUUGUGUUAUUGUUAUUAAUUAUUAUUAUUCUAUUCGAAAUGUCAAUCUCUACCAAUUAAUUCUGCAAGUUAAUUUCACAUCUCUAACAGAUUAAGAAAACCUUUCACACAUGUGCUAUAUACGAGACAUUAAUUUGAUUAUUUUUCCAUUUAUUAUUUGUCUUUAUUCUGUACAAAACAAUUAUUAAAAUUAUUAGAAUAAAGAAUGAAACUUGUGAAUACAAAGGAACAAUGAAAAAAAUAAGUUCAAAUAUUUCAGGGUUAGCAUAUUAAAGGCACCAAAAGAACUAUCAAAUUUUGCUAUAAGUUUGAUUGCAUCAUAUAAUAAUUGCUGUAAAUAGUGUUCAUCGUCUGUUGAUUGUCUUUAAUUGAUUUCCCGUACAUUACUGCCAUAUGCACAUAAACUACCACCACUGAUAAGCUACUACUAAAUAUUGUAGAAACGUAGUUUUCUGUAAAGUUGCUUUGCAAUGAUUUGUACCAUAAAAGCGCUAAACAAAUAAACUUGAAUUGAAUUGAAUUGAAGUUUUGAAAAUAUCAAGGUUCAGAAAAUAAGUGCUAAAGUAAUCGUGAAAAACUAAAACGUAAAGACACCUUACAUAUUUUACAUUUAAUAUAGUAAAGUUAAUGAUGCAGAAGGUAAUUCUGACAAUCUUCACCAACACCAUUUAUAAAGAUUUAGAAUUUAGAAUCAUUUUAAAUAAAUGUGGAGUAGCACUGCAUGAUUAACACCACAAUUUUUCUAUCUAUCUAUCUAUCUAUCUAUCUAUCUAUCUAUCUAUUUAUGGUAAGACUAUAGAUUAUGGAACACAUUCAAUAUUAACCAGGAUUUUCCCCCAAAGAAACUGCUUAUUACUGAUAGUUUGGUAGUUGUAGUGGUUAUGUUUGGGUGUGGGGAUCCAGAAUAUGGUUAUAUCCAGAAUAAAGCAUUAAUAUGUGCUUUAUAAGAACUAAUAAACAGCAAAUAUGCUAGUAAUAUAUAUGCUACACUCAGUUGAAUUUUAAUUUUCCAGCAGCGUGGGGUGAGGAUGACACGCACUCAUGUUCCCAUCUUGGAUCUUCACCUGAAGUGUGGUGAAAGUUUUUGAGGUAUCGUUGUGGAGGGAUGAGGCGCUGAGGGACCUGUAUGCAGGUGACUAUGUGGUCAUUAUCCACCUUCGUCCCUGCAUCCUCAGCGAUGGCCGGGGAAAAUUUCACUCCUCCACAUACACCUCUGUGAAGAUAUAUAAUGCACAACAAAUACAUCUACUAUGCCAUAAAACAUGCAUUUUGAAGCUGUAACUGUAAAUGGCAGUUAAUUAUGGAGUCAAUAUAAUGCCACAUAUAUACGCAAAAAAAUAAAGUUUUGCAAAAGAAAAUAAAGUUUUGCAAACAAAAAUUAAAGUAUUGAGGAAAAUAAUUUUGCUUUUUGCAAACAAAAAUAAAGAAUUGCAAAAUCAUUGCUUUCGCGCGGUAUCAUUUAUGUUUUGCAAUUCUUUAUUUUUGUAGAUAACUGACUGUCAUUGUAAGAUAAAAAAAAAUGAAGCUUGAAUCUUUUUGCUUUAAUUUUGC